GAUGCCCUAGUGGUUAGAGCUUCCGCCUCUGAUGCAGGAGGUCGCGGGUUCAAACCCCGGCUGAGUCA